rnacentral:rRNA from 1 species
AGAGUUUGAUCCUGGCUCAGGAUGAACGCUAGCGGCAGGCCUAACACAUGCAAGUCGAGGGGCAGCGGGAGUGCUUGCACUCGCCGGCGACCGGCGCACGGGUGCGGAACGCGUAUCGAAUCUGCCUCUAUCUGGGGGAUACCCCAUGGAAACGUGGAAUAAUACCCCAUAGUAUUACUUUAUCGCAUGAUUUAGUAAUUAAAGAAUUUCGGAUAGAGAUGACGAUGCGUAUCAUUAGCUAGUAGGUAAGGUAACGGCUUACCUAGGCAACGAUGAUUAGGGGUCCUGAGAGGGAGAUCCCCCACACUGGUACUGAGACACGGACCAGACUCCUACGGGAGGCAGCAGUGAGGAAUAUUGGACAAUGGUCGAAAGACUGAUCCAGCCAUGCCGCGUGCAGGAUGACUGCCCUAUGGGUUGUAAACUGCUUUUAUACGGGAAGAAAAACACCUACGUGUAGGUGACUGACGGUACCGUAAGAAUAAGGACCGGCUAACUCCGUGCCAGCAGCCGCGGUAAUACGGAGGGUCCAAGCGUUAUCCGGAAUCAUUGGGUUUAAAGGGUCCGUAGGCGGGCUAUUAAGUCAGAGGUGAAAGUUUGCAGCUCAACUGUAAAAUUGCCUUUGAUACUGAUAGUCUUGAAUUGUAGUGAAGUGGUUAGAAUAUGUGGUGUAGCGGUGAAAUGCAUAGAUAUCACAUAGAAUACCGAUUGCGAAGGCAGAUCACUAACUAUAUAUUGACGCUGAGGGACGAAAGCGUGGGGAGCGAACGGGAUUAGAUAAAUCGG